UGCGAAUGGCUCAUUAUAUAAGUUAUCGUUUAUUUGAUAGUAUCUUGCUACUUGGAUAACCGUGGUAAUUCUAGAGCUAAUACAUGCUAAAAAUCCCGACUUCGGAAGGGAUGUAUUUAUUAGAUUAAAAACCAAUGCCCUCUGGGCUCUCUUGGUGAAUCAUGAUAACUUCUCGAAUCGCAGGGCCUUGCGCCGGCGAUGGUUCAUUCAAAUUUCUUCCCUAUCAACUUUCGAUGUUUGGGUAGUGGCCAAACAUGGUUGCAACGGGUAACGGAGGGUUAGGGCUCGACCCCGGAGAAGGAGCCUGAGAAACGGCUACUACAUCCAAGGAAGGCAGCAGGCGCGCAAAUUACCCAAUCCCGAUCCGGGGAGGUAGUGACAAUAAAUACUGAUACAGGGCUCUUUUGGGUCUUGUAAUUGGAAUGAGUACAAUUUAAAUCCCUUAACGAGGAACAAUUGGAGGGCAAGUCUGGUGCCAGCAGCCGCGGUAAUUCCAGCUCCAAUAGCGUAUAUUAAAGUUGUUGUGGUUAAAAAGCUCGUAGUUGAACCUUGGGCCUGGCUGGCCGGUCCGCCUCACCGCGUGCACUGGUCCGGCCGGGCCUUUCCCUCUGUGGAACCCCAUGCCCUUCACUGGGUGUGGCGGGGAAACAGGACUUUUACUUUGAAAAAAUUAGAGUGCUCCAGGCAGGCCUAUGCUCGAAUACAUUAGCAUGGAAUAAUGAAAUAGGACGUGCGGUUCUAUUUUGUUGGUUUCUAGGACCGCCGUAAUGAUUAAUAGGGACAGUCGGGGGCAUCAGUAUUCAAUUGUCAGAGGUGAAAUUCUUGGAUUUAUUGAAGACUAACUACUGCGAAAGCAUUUGCCAAGGAUGUUUUCAUUAAUCAGGAACGAAAGUUAGGGGAUCGAAGACGAUCAGAUACCGUCGUAGUCUUAACCAUAAACUAUGCCGACUAGGGAUCGGACGAUGUUAUUUUUUGACUCGUUCGGCACCUUACGAGAAAUCAAAGUGCUUGGGCUCCAGGGGGAGUAUGGUCGCAAGGCUGAAACUUAAAGAAAUUGACGGAAGGGCACCACCAGGGGUAAACCUGACCUGUGAAGCCGCAGUCAACUCUGCUCCAGAAAGCCGCCCGAAAGGGUCGGUGGUGUUCCUAGGGGAGAGCUCUCCCCUAAACUAAUGGCUAGUCCUGCCGCCCGCGGCAGGGCGACACCCUCAAACUGACGGGGAACUCCUAAAGCCCUCGCUCCGGACAGGCGUCGGGAAACCGACGGCCUGCUCACCAGGCUAACGACCUCGGGUAUCGGAAGCAACGCGAGAGGAUGCUACAAUGGACAAUCCGCAGCCAAGCCCCUACGGUGCGGCCUCUACGGGGGUCGCAUACGGGGAAGGUUCAGAGACUUGACGGGGGUGGGUGGCGCGGGCUCUUGGGGUGCAAGCCGCGUGCUUGCUUGCAGGCCCAGGCGCCCGCCGCUGCCUAAGAUAAAGUCCGGGCGUGCGCGAAAGCGUGCGCGGCAACCACGCAACCCGCCGUUUCCAGCGGGUGCGAGGCCCCAGAAGUAAAAACAACCGGGAGCCUGCGGCUUAAUUUGACUCAACACGGGGAAACUCACCAGGUCCAGACACAAUGAGGAUUGACAGAUUGAGAGCUCUUUCUUGAUUUUGUGGGUGGUGGUGCAUGGCCGUUCUUAGUUGGUGGAGUGAUUUGUCUGCUUAAUUGCGAUAACGAACGAGACCUUAACCUGCUAAAUAGCCCGUAUUGCUUUGGCAGUACGCCGGC
rnacentral:rRNA from 1 species